UGGGCGCCUACAUUCAUUAGAGAUGCUGUACCAGAACUGUUUCCGCUACCACUAAACAAGCGUCAGAUUCUAUUAAAAUCUGGAUUCUUCAGGAUUGGUGGAGAAGUACGUUCUGAUCGCUGCACCAAAGCCCGACUCACCCGUUCGGUCGGAUUAUUUGUUGGACAACCAAGUAGCAAAAAGGUUGAACUGUGAGCCGCUCCGGAAUGCCAAAAACAAACAUGGGUUGUUUGACCACACACUUUUCGAAGUGAGAGGUGACGACUCCCAGCGUUGUGUUGAACUUUUAGACCGUGGGAAUGGACCCAUAUAGUCGAUGGACACAACUUGCCAUGGCAUCGACGCUAUUCUCGGACGACCCAAUUUGAGGUGGAUGUUUCGCCGUUUUGCAGUUUCUCACACAUAUGCGGCCAAUAGUGCUUUUCCCGGAUUUCCCUCAUCGUUUUGUAGUACCCAAAGUGGGUUACACUGUGCUCGUCUUCGAGGAUCUGAAUAGGAUCAGCUUUUGGCGGCAUAUCAACUCAAAACGAGGAUCUUUUGAAGUGCAGCUGACUUGCAGAAUUGACUUUGAUGUUCAAGUCCACCAACUAUAUCAUGCUGCUGCAGUUUAAGGGCCCAUCCAACAAGUCGUGCGGAGAUGCCCUCGACGCUUACUUUAUUUAACUAUUUCAAGGAUUGCGCGUCCAGUUAUAAAUGAGUACCCCCUACGUAAUGGCGGAAUUUUCCAAUGGCCAAAUCUACAGCCAGGCAUUAGUGUCCCGUUGCAGAUUACUUCCUCUGAGUUGAAGAAACAUAUUUGAAAAGAAUGAGAUUGGGCGCCUACAUUCAUUAGAGAUGCUGUACCAGAACUGUUUCCGCUACCACUAAACAAGCGUCAGAUUCUAUUAAAAUCUGGAUUCUUCAGGAUUGGUGGAGAAGUACGUUCUGAUCGCUGCACCAAAGCCCGACUCACCCGUUCGGUCGGAUUAUUUGUUGGACAACCAAGUAGCAAAAAGGUUGAACUGUGAGCCGCUCCGGAAUGCCAAAAACAAACAUGGGUUGUUUGACCACACACUUUUCGAAGUGAGAGGUGACGACUCCCAGCGUUGUGUUGAACUUUUAGACCGUGGGAAUGGACCCAUAUAGUCGAUGGACACAACUUGCCAUGGCAUCGACGCUAUUCUCGGACGACCCAAUUUGAGGUGGAUGUUUCGCCGUUUUGCAGUUUCUCACACAUAUGCGGCCAAUAGUGCUUUUCCCGGAUUUCCCUCAUCGUUUUGUAGUACCCAAAGUGGGUUACACUGUGCUCGUCUUCGAGGAUCUGAAUAGGAUCAGCUUUUGGCGGCAUAUCAACUCAAAACGAGGAUCUUUUGAAGUGCAGCUGACUUGCAGAAUUGACUUUGAUGUUCAAGUCCACCAACUAUAUCAUGCUGCUGCAGUUUAAGGGCCCAUCCAACAAGUCGUGCGGAGAUGCCCUCGACGCUUACUUUAUUUAACUAUUUCAAGGAUUGCGCGUCCAGUUAUAAAUGAGUACCCCCUACGUAAUGGCGGAAUUUUCCAAUGGCCAAAUCUACAGCCAGGCAUUAGUGUCCCGUUGCAGAUUACUUCCUCUGAGUUGAAGAAACAUAUUUGAAAAGAAUGAGAUUGGGCGCCUACAUUCAUUAGAGAUGCUGUACCAGAACUGUUUCCGCUACCACUAAACAAGCGUCAGAUUCUAUUAAAAUCUGGAUUCUUCAGGAUUGGUGGAGAAGUACGUUCUGAUCGCUGCACCAAAGCCCGACUCACUUUUUUGGACCGUGGGAAUGGACCCAUAUAGUCGAUGGACACAACUUGCCAAGGCAUCGACGCUAUCUUCGGACGACCCAAUUUGAGGUGGAUGUUUCGCCGUUUUGUAGUUCCUCACACAUACGCGGCCAAUAGUGCUUUUCCCGGAUUUCCCUCAUCGUUUUGUAGUACCCAAAGUGGGUUACACUGUGCUCGUCGUCGAGGAUCUGAAUAGGAUCAGCUUUUGGCGGCAUAUCAACUCAAAACGAGGAUCUUUUGAAGUGCAGCUGACUUGCAGAAUUGACUUUGAUGUUCAAGUCCACCAACUAUAUCAUGCUGCUGCAGUUUAAGGACCCAUGGAACAAGUCGUGCUGAGUUGCCCUCAACGCUUACUUAAUUAAACUAUUUCAAGGAUUGCGCGUCCGGUGAUAAAUGAGUACCCUCUACGUAAUGGCGCAAUUUUUCAAUGGCCAAAUUGACAGCCAGGCAUUAUCGUCCCGUUGCAGAAUACUUCUUCUGAGCUGAUGAAACAAAUUUGAAAAGAAUGAGGUCACUAAGGAAGCAUCAGAUUCUAUUGAAA